ACGAACGCUGGCGGCGUGCUUAACACAUGCAAGUCGAACGGAAAGGCCCUGCUUUUGUGGGGUGCUCGAGUGGCGAACGGGUGAGUAACACGUGGGUAACCUGCCCUUGACUUUGGGAUAACUUCAGGAAGCUGGGGCUAAUACCGGAUAGGAGCUCCUGCUGCAUGGUGGGGGUUGGAAAGUUUCGGCGGUUGGGGAUGGACUCGCGGCUUAUCAGCUUGUUGGUGGGGUAGUGGCUUACCAAGGCUUUGACGGGUAGCCGGCCUGAGAGGGUGACCGGCCACAUUGGGACUGAGAUACCGCCCAGACUCCUACGGGAGGCAGCAGUGGGGAAUAUUGCACAAUGGGCGGAAGCCUGAUGCAGCAACGCCGCGUGCGGGAUGACGGCCUUCGGGUUGUAAACCGCUUUCGCCUGUGACGAAGCGUGAGUGACGGUAAUGGGUAAAGAAGCACCGGCUAACUACGUG
rnacentral:rRNA from 1 species